rnacentral:rRNA from 1 species
AAAUUGAAGAGUUUGAUCAUGGCUCAGAUUGAACGCUGGCGGCAGGCCUAACACAUGCAAGUCGAGCGGUAGCACAGAGAGCUUGCUCUCGGGUGACGAGCGGCGGACGGGUGAGUAAUGUCUGGGAAACUGCCUGAUGGAGGGGGAUAACUACUGGAAACGGUAGCUAAUACCGCAUAACGUCGCAAGACCAAAGAGGGGGACCUUCGGGCCUCUUGCCAUCAGAUGUGCCCAGAUGGGAUUAGCUAGUAGGUGGGGUAACGGCUCACCUAGGCGACGAUCCCUAGCUGGUCUGAGAGGAUGACCAGCCACACUGGAACUGAGACACGGUCCAGACUCCUACGGGAGGCAGCAGUGGGGAAUAUUGCAC